ACUCCUGCGGGAGGCAGCAGUGGGGAAUAUUGCACAAUGGGCGCAAGCCUGAUGCAGCCAUGCCGCGUGUAUGAAGAAGGCCUUCGGGUUGUAAAGUACUUUCAGCGGGGAGGAAGGCGAUAAGGUUAAUAACCUUGUUGAUUGACGUUACCCGCAGAAGAAGCACCGGCUAACUCCGUGCCAGCAGCCGCGGUAAUACGGAGGGUGCAAGCGUUAAUCGGAAUUACUGGGCGUAAAGCGCACGCAGGCGGUCUGUCAAGUCGGAUGUGAAAUCCCCGGGCUCAACCUGGGAACUGCAUUCGAAACUGGCAGGCUAGAGUCUUGUAGAGGGGGGUAGAAUUCCAGGUGUAGCGGUGAAAUGCGUAGAGAUCUGGAGGAAUACCGGUGGCGAAGGCGGCCCCCUGGACAAAGACUGACGCUCAGGUGCGAAAGCGUGGGGAGCAAACAGGAUUAGAAACCCUAGUAGUCCCAUGAU
rnacentral:rRNA from 1 species